CCUACGGGUGGCAGCAGUGGGGGAUAUUGGACAAUGGGGGGAACCCUGAUCCAGCGACGCCGCGUGAGUGAAGAAGUAUUUCGGUAUGUAAAGCUCUGUUAGCAGGGAAGAAAGCAAUGACGGUACCUGACCAAGAAACCCCGGCUAACUACGUGCCAGCAGCCGCUGUAAUACGUAGGGGGCGAGCGUUAUCCGGAUUUACUGGUUGUAAAGGGGGCGUAGGCGGCUUGGCAAGUCUGGAGUGAAAGUCGGGGGCCCAACCCCCGGACUGCUGUGGAAACUGGAUGGCUGGAGUGCAGGAGAGGUGAGCGGAAUUCGUGGUGUAGCGGUGAAAUGCGUAGAUAUUAGGAGGAACACCAGUGGCGAAGGCGGCUUACUGGACUGUAACUGACGUUGAGGCUCGAAAGCGUGGGGAGCAAACAGGAUUAGAUACCCGGGUAGUC
rnacentral:rRNA from 1 species